rnacentral:rRNA from 1 species
UAAGCCCAAGGCUAAAGCCUUAUCCCACGCUAGAGGCAACGGCCAAGCGAGUUGUCGUCACUGUCGUGGCGGCUCAUCCGUGAGAGAUUCUUCUCAGUUGCCGAUGGAAUUCGUGGCGAAAGGGAAUACGGUACUUAUUCCGUAACCAGGCCUGGAUGCCAACCGGGGCUAGGUUCCUUCUUGGGCCGGCCCUUGGUGCAGGAACCCGGUAACGGGAACCAACUCGCGUCCAUCGGCGGUGGUCCGGGAAAGAGUUUUCUUUUCUGUUUAAGGCGCCGUGACCCUAGAAGCCACUCGCAGAGCGAAAGGGUGUUGGUAACACGGUCUGCCGUAGAGCGCCGCGGUUCUUGCGGCGUCCCGAGUACCACUGCCGGUCCGUGAAACAUGCGAGGCAGGUAACUGCAUGGGCGAAGCGGGGGGGUCUGCUGCUGCUGCCCGCUGCCGGGCGUCGUUCUGCGGCGUCACGGCGCGGCGCACGUACGCACGCGGCCUCCGCGAUGCACCCCAGUUUCGGGCCUGUGCGUACCCAUAUCCGCAGCCGGUCUCCAAGGUAAGAAGCCUCUGGUCGAUAGACUAAUGUAGGUAAGGGAAGUCGGCAAAUUAGAUCCGUAACUUCGGGAUAAGGAUUGGCUCUGAGGAUCGGGCCAGUCGGGCCUGUGCGGGGAAGCGGGCCUGGGUUCGGGCGCUGGACUGGGCUCAGGCUCUGAGCUGCGCGCGGUGAUGGGUGAUGCCGUCUACCCUGCGGCGCCCGACGUCGCCGGUGUCCGCCCAUCCGCUGUGUCUCGCCUUCCCGGUGGCGGCGACCCAUUCCAAAUGCGGCCUCGCGUCGCGCUGUCCUUGUUCUAUCAGCUCGCCGGUGCGGCGGUGCUUGUGGUCCGGGUUCGCAAAGGCGGCCGGCGGACGAUCACCGCGUCGUUUGGGCCCUCAAAAGCCCCGGCGCGGCGUCCUCCGGUCGCUCCCGGUCCCACUCCGCCGUCCGCGCUAAAGCCGGCGCGGCGGGGCAGCGCGCGUUGGGAAUCACCGCAGGGUUCGCGCAGCGCCGGUCUCGCAGGCGGGACACGCUCAUGCGAGGUGGGGCCAACGGCCCGGUGUGCGGCGGCUCGCAUUUCGUGGUGGCGGCUCUAGCCCUCUCGCCACUCGUGCCGAGAGCUCGGACCGGCGUGUCUCCGGCCUUCCGUGGAACGCGCUAGGCGCGUGGGCGCGGGCUCCGGCUCUCUCUAUCGCCGGCUUUCGGCCGGUUAGGUAGCAGCAGCAGUCGUCCCUCGCUCCAAACCCACUUCGGCUGGCGCCCAGCGAUCAACUCAGAACUGGCACGGACCAGGGAAUCCGACUGUCUAAUUAAAACAAAGCAUUGCGAUGGUCAGAGAUAGAUGUUGACGCAAUGUGAUUUCUGCCAGUGCUCUGAAUGUCAAAGUGAAGAGAUUCAACCAAGCGCGGGUAAACGGCGGGAGUAACUAUGACUCUCUUAAGGUAGCCAAAUGCCUCGUCAUCUAAUUAGUGACGCGCAUGAAUGGAUUAACGAGAUUCCCACUGUCCCUAUCUACUAUCUAGCGAACCCACAGGCAGGGGAACGGGCCUGCGCCUAACAGCGGGGAAAGAAGACCCUGUUGAGCUUGACUCUAGUCUGAUUUUGUAGAGAGACAUCAGAGAGCAUAAGUGGGAGGUCGUCACAUCAGGGGCUUGCUCCGUGCGGCCGACAAUGAAAUACCACUACUCUGAUCGUUUCUUUACUUACGGUGAGACGGAAUCGGAGCUUCCCCACGUGGGAUUGCCUCCGUUUCUAGCCUAAAGCGGCGGAAGGGAGGCGCGCUUGGUUUCGGCCUUGCGUUAGCCUGACCGGGCGUUCGCGCCCGCCGCGAUCCGCUCCGAGGACAUUAUCAGGUGGGGAGUUUGACUGGGCGGUACAUCUGUCAAACGAUAACGCAGGUGUCCUAAGGCCAGCUCAGCGUGGACAGAAACCUCGCGUAGAGCAAAAGGGCAAAUGCUGGCUUGAUCCUGAUUUUCAGUACGAAUACGGACUGCGAAAGCAGGGCCUAUCGAUCCUUUUGACUUUAUGAGUUUUAAGCAAGAGGUGUCAGAAAGUUACCACGGGAUAACUGGCUUGUGGCGGCCAAGCGUUCAUAGCGACGUCGCUUUUUGAUCCUUCGAUGUCGGCUCUUCCUAUCAUUGUGAAGCAGAAUUCACCAAGCGUGGAUUGUUCACCCAUAAAAAGGGAACGUGAGCUGGGUUUAGACCGUCGCGAACAGGUUAGUUUUACCCUACUGUUGCAGUUGUGUCGUUGAUACAGCAGUCCUGCUCAGUACGAGAGGAACGGCAGGUCCGGACAUAUGGUUCCGCUCUUGGUCGAUCGGCCAGUGGAGCGAGGCUACGUCCGUGGGAUUAUGCUGAAAGCCCAAGGCAGAAUCCGCUGAUGACCACGAUACCGCGUACGGCCUGCAUCGGAUGGUCACCAUUGAAUUUCGAGAGAUCGACUCCCGCCCCGCCCACAGCAAAUUGGCACAAUUUCCCCAAAGUCUGGGAAAAUUCUUC